rnacentral:tRNA from 3 species
GGAGAGAUGGCCGAGUCGGCUGAAGGCGCUCGCCUGCUAAGCGAGUGUGUGGUGAAAGCUGCACCGAGGGUUCGAAUCCCUCUCUCUCCGCCA